GUAAAUAUAGUUUAACAAAAACAUUAGACUGUGAUUCUAAAUAUGGGAGUUCAAACCUCCUUAUUCACC
rnacentral:tRNA from 1 species